AUUGAACGCUGGCGGCAGGCUUAACACAUGCAAGUCGAGCGAGCGGCGGACGGGUGAGUUAUGUCUGGGCAUCUGCCUGAUGGGGGGGGAUAACUACUGGAAACGGUCUCUAAUACCGCAUACCCUCAGGUGUGCCCAGAUGGGAUGAGCUAGGAGGUGGGGUAAUGGCUCACCUAGGCGACGAUCCCUAGCUGGUCUGAGAGGAUGACCAGCCACACUGGAACUGAGACACGGCCCAGACUCCUACGGGAGGCAGCAGUGGGGAAUAUUGCACAAUGGGCGCAAGCCUGAUGCAGCCAUGCCGCGUGUGUGAAGAAGGCCUUCGGGUUGUAAAGCACUUUCAGCGGGGAGGCGUUACUCGCAGAAGAAGCACCGGCUAACUCCGUGCCAGCAGCCGCGGUAAUUC
rnacentral:rRNA from 1 species